rnacentral:rRNA from 1 species
AACGAACGCUGGCGGCAGGCCUAACACAUGCAAGUCGAGCGCGCCCUUCGGGGUGAGCGGCGGACGGGUUAGUAACGCGUGGGAAUAUACCCUUUUCUACGGAAUAGCCUCUGGAAACGGAGAGUAAUACCGUAUGAGCCCUUCGGGGGAAAGAUUUAUCGGGAAAGGAUUAGCCCGCGUUAGAUUAGGUAGUUGGUGGGGUAAUGGCCUACCAAGCCUACGAUCUAUAGCUGGUUUUAGAGGAUGAUCAGCAACACUGGGACUGAGACACGGCCCAGACUCCUACGGGAGGCAGCAGUGGGGAAUCUUGGACAAUGGGCGCAAGCCUGAUCCAGCCAUGCCGCGUGAGUGAUGAAGGCCUUAGGGUCGUAAAGCUCUUUCGCCUGUGAAGAUAAUGACGGUAGCAGGUAAAGAAACCCCGGCUAACUCCGUGCCAGCCGCCGCCGU